rnacentral:rRNA from 1 species
GACGAACGCUGGCGGCGUGCUUAACACAUGCAAGUCGAACGGAAAGGCCCUGCUUUUGUGGGGUGCUCGAGUGGCGAACGGGUGAGUAACACGUGAGUAACCUGCCCUUGACUUUGGGAUAACUUCAGGAAACUGGGGCUAAUACCGGAUAGGAGCUCCUGCUGCAUGGUGGGGGUUGGAAAGUUUCGGCGGUUGGGGAUGGACUCGCGGCUUAUCAGCUUGUUGGUGGGGUAGUGGCUUACCAAGGCUUUGACGGGUAGCCGGACUGAGAGGGUGACCGGCCUCAUUGGUACUGACAUACGGCCCAGACUCCUACUGGAGGCAGCAGUGGGGAAUAUUGCGCCAUAGGCGGAAGCCUGAUGCAGCAACGCCGCUUGCGGGAUGACGGCCUUCGGGUUGUAAACCGCUUUCGCCUGUGACGAAGCGUGAGUGACGGUAAUGUGUAAAGAAGCACCGGCUAACUACGUG